ACGAGCGCACCCUCGUCGUUAGUUAUAUGUGUCUAACGAGACCGCCUGUGAUAAGCCGGAGGAAGGUGGGGAUGACGUCAAGUCAGCAUGGCCUUUAUAUCCGGGGCUACACACACGCUACAAUGGCCGGUACAAUGGGUCGCGAAACCGUGAGGCGGAGCCAAUCCUCCAAAGCCGGUCUCAAUUCGGAUUGCAGGCUGCAACUCGCCUGCAUGAAGUCGGAGUUGCUAGUAACCGCGCGUCAGCAACACUGCGGUGAAUACCUUC
rnacentral:rRNA from 1 species